AACAGUGAAUGUUACUGCGAAUGACAGUGUGUCUGACAACGUCCUGACCCUAAGCCUGCACAGACGCACCCAGAAGAAAUCACCUUUACUGACUGGACUUUACACACACACACACACACACACACACACACACACACGUACGCUUUACCUUUGUACCCGGAGGCCGACGGCACAUGUUUAUCCACAGAAUGCUUAGACCCGCGUUUGACUCACGAGACAGACUUCGUGUGACAGCUGGAGUUAUCAUACGUUGACGUUUUUCAACGGAAAACACGCGCGGAAUCAGAUUUGAGCGCAUUCCACCGGUUGAGGCAGCUUUAUUUCGGUGGCGCAACCAGCCCGCUCAGCUCAGGAUGGACAGGAAGCAGUGCUGUGUGAAGCUGUCGGUCCAGCCGUGCAGAGGACUCGUGGACGAGAGGUUCGUUGUCCGGGUCCAGAAUGUCCCGCCUGGUUUCCAGCUGACCGUCCGCGCCCUCCACCGGUGUGAGGACGGACACAGCUGGGAGGCGUUCGGUCACUACAACGCCGACACCACCGGGACUGUGGACGUUUCAGAGGAUCCCAGUCUCGGCGGGACAUAUUCUGGGGUCGAACCGAUGGGCCUACUGUGGAGCCUCAGACCGGUCCCAGGCAGCCGACCCGGACUCAGGAUGAGGAAGAUGAAUGUCCAGACUCCCAUGGAGGUCACAAUCUCCGUGUUCCAGGGUCACCAGACUGAGGGGUUCUUGGAUCAGGUGCCGCUGGCCUGCGUGAUGGUGGAGCGCUGGUACAUGGCGCCUGGCGUCCGCAGGAUCCCGAUCACAGUGGACGGACUCACUGCGACCCUUUUCCUGCCCUCAGGACCCGGACCUUUCCCCGGCCUCCUGGACCUGUGGGGGGGUGGAGGGAAGCUGGUGGAGUACCGCGCGGCGCUGCUGGCCUCCCACGGCAUCGCCUCCCUGGCUCUCGACUACCUGACGCCUAAAAUCACCAUGGAAACCGGGAAGAUGGUGGACAACGAGUACUUUGAGAUGGCCUACAGAGUCCUGCAGCAGCAUCCUCAGGUCCUCAGCAGCAGGAUCGCCAUGUUGGGCCUUUCCCUUGGCACCAGCGUCACCCUCAAAAUGGCUGCCUACUCCCAAGUUGUAAAGCUCAGGUGUGUGGUGUGUAUUAGUGGGAGUCAUGUGCAGCCGGUUGAUGGAUCUGUGGAACAAAUACUGGGUUUCUUUGACGAGUAAGUCGAUCUGCUGUCAGUAACUUGAAGGUUUCUGUUCAACAACUCAACUACUGCUGGUCAGAUUGUCUGAACUGAAUCUGAAGAGAAGCACAGAUUCAUACAAAUUCAUACAAAAUGAAUGGAAAUAAACAUUUGGACACGAACAGACGUGAAUCUGAGACUUGGUUUUGGUGAAGUCUGACUUUAGUCACAAUUAAGGGAGAUGAAGUCUCUUUUUUUUGGUUCCAAUCAGAAGCUUCGGGAAGACUCGCUUCAACGAGGAGAACCAGGUGAUCUGCAGAGACUUGCUGCUGCCCAUCCCCACCGACCCCUCGUUCAAAGUGGACGUGGGACGACUCCAGUGUCCUCUGUUGCUGGUCGUGGGUGAGGACGAUCAGAACUGGCCCGCCCACGAGUCUGCAGCGGACGUGAGUUUACUGACAUGGCGACAUCCUGUGCGGAUAAAUCGUUUAAGUCUAGAGGAAUGACGUCAGGUUAGAAAGCAGGAUGGCAGAAACUAGGCGAAUAGUUAAGGGGAUAUAUGGAAUUCCAGAGCGGAUACUAAAUAAAUCAAUAAUACAUAAAAAAAUAAAUUAUAAUAUGUAUAAAUAAAGUACUUAAUGUAAAUGAACUCAUACUGUUUAUGAAAUACUUCA